rnacentral:tRNA from 1 species
UCUGUGGCUUAGAUGCUUAAAGCACAGGACUAGCGAUACGGAGACGUGGGUUUGAAUCCCACCAAAAGAA